rnacentral:rRNA from 1 species
CCUACGGGUGGCUGCAGUGGGGAAUAUUGGACAAUGGGGGGAACCCUGAUCCAGCCAUGCCGCGUGUGUGAAGAAGGCCCUCGGGUUGUAAAGCACUUUCAGUGAGGAAGAACGCCUGGUGGUUAAUACCCAUCAGGAAAGACAUCACUCACAGAAGAAGCACCGGCUAACUCCGUGCCAGCAGCCGCGGUAAUACGGAGGGUGCGAGCGUUAAUCGGAAUUACUGGGCGUAAAGCGCGCGUAGGUGGCUUGAUAAGCCGGUUGUGAAAGCCCCGGGCUCAACCUGGGAACGGCAUCCGGAACUGUCAAGCUAGAGUGCAGGAGAGGAAGGUAGGAUUCCCGGUGUAGCGGUGAAAUGCGUAGAGAUCGGGAGGAAUACCAGUGGCGAAGGCGGCCUUCUGGACUGACACUGACACUGAGGUGCGAAAGCGUGGGUAGCAAACAGGAUUAGAUACCCUGGUAGUC